UACGAAGGGGGGCUAGCGUUGCUCGGAAUCACUGGGCGUAAAGGGUGCGUAGGCGGGUCUUUUAAGUCAGGGGGUGAAAUCCUGGAGCUCAACUCCAGAACUGCCUUUGAUACUGAAGAUCUUAGUUCGGGGAGAGGUGAGUGGAACUGCGAGUGUAGAGGUGAAAUUCGUAGAUAUUCGCAAGAACACCAGUGGCGAAGGCGGCUCACUGGCCCGAUACUGA
rnacentral:rRNA from 1 species